CGUCCCGACCCUCUCCUUCUCAACCUCCUGUCCUUUCAUAAAUACGAGUACCAAGUUAAGCAGACGACGUUCAAAUCAGAGCCGCUUCCAUCAUCUCUCGAGAAUGCGCGGCUCGCACCUGCUCCUGCUACUGGUGGCGUUCUCUUCAUUCCACGGCCACCUCGCCGCCCGCCAUGGCCGGAGGCACGCGCCUGCAGCCGUCCCCGUCGUAGGCUCCGUCCGCUCUGGCGGAGCGGCCACGGAUGCUGCUUCCUCAGGCGGGGCGACAGCCGUCCGGUGCCACGACGGGGCCGUCUGCAGCGAGAAGGGCCUGUUUUUCCCGCCGAUUCCGCUCGUGCCGGAGCCGCCGAACAUCGGGGGCGUGCCCAUCCCGCCGAACCCGAUCACGCCAGCGCCGCCGUCGCUCAUCCCGCCGGUGUUCCCCGCGCCAUCUCCGCCGUCCAUCCUGCCGCCGCUCGUCCCGCAGCCGCCGCCAGCUUCGCUCAUACCGCCGGUGCUGCCGUUGCCGUUCCUUCACCCACCGCCUCCGCCGCCACCGCCGCCGUCCAUCCUACCGCCGGUGCCCUUCCUCCCGCCGUUGAUCCCUGGCGUGCCGCCAGCUUCCUCCUCGAACAACGGACGACCGGUGAAACCAUGAGAAAGAUGCUGGUCUUCCUGCCCUAUGAGUUAUCUAUAUAUUGUGAAAUCUUGUACCGGAAAUACUCCACUUUAUGGCUGUGCACUGUGCAUGUGUCGUGGUUUUUGGUUUGUGUCCACCGAUUAUUAUUUGGAGAUAUUAUCACGAUUCAUAGAACAUAUUUUUUAUGUUCAGU
rnacentral:rRNA from 1 species